rnacentral:rRNA from 1 species
UACGUAGGGGGCUAGCGUUGUCCGGAAUCAUUGGGCGUAAAGCGCGUGUAGGCGGUCCGGUAAGUCCGCUGUGAAAGUCGGGGGCUCAACCCUCGGAUGCCGGUGGAUACUGUCGGGCUUGAGUACGGAAGAGGCGAGUGGAAUUCCUGGUGUAGCGGUGAAAUGCGCAGAUAUCAGGAAGAACACCAAUGGCGAAAGCAGCUCUCUGGGACGGUACUGACGCUGAGACGCGAAAGCGUGGGGAGCGAACAGG